UACAGAGGUCUCAAGCGUUGUUCGGAUUCAUUGGGCGUAAAGGGUGCGUAGGUGGCGCGGUAAGUCGGGUGUGAAAUCUCGGAGCUUAACUCCGAAAUUGCAUUCGAUACUGCCGUGCUUGAGGACUGGAGAGGAGACUGGAAUUUACGGUGUAGCAGUGAAAUGCGUAGAGAUCGUAAGGAAGACCAGUGGCGAAGGCGGGUCUCUGGACAGUUCCUGACGCUGAGGCACGAAGGUCAGGGGAGCAAACGGG
rnacentral:rRNA from 1 species